AUCCUUUUACACUCCGAUGUCUCCACUGAGGCACUAUCAACAAUCACCAUUGUAAAAUUAAGAUAUUUUACAUCUUAUUAAUUAAUAACAACAUUAUUUUAAGAAUUUAAAAAUUGUAUAAUAAUACUAUAGUGUGUAUUUUAAAUGAUAUACGGCUGAUAUAACAGCUUCACUCGGAGUGUGAAGGAUUAAAAAUAUUAGAUAAACAUCGAUGCAUAACUGAUAAUUAUAUAUUUUGCCUUUCAGGGAUUCAUUGUUUCCCUAAUCUUCUGUUAUAUGAACGGUGAAAUUCUGAGCCUGUUGGGUCGGUCUGUAAGCACCUACAGAGCUAAGCGAGAAAUAUCUCCUGCAUGCAGCAAGCGUCGUUCCACCUGCAUGGUCUCCCUUGCAUCUCUAAGGGUCCGUCGCCUAUCCCAUGACCUAUAAGAAAAAAGUUUUGUACUUGUUGAAACGCUCUUACAAGCGGUACAAACUGAGUAGUAGCCUCCAUGGACGAGGCCAAUCCAGCAUGAUGAUGCAUCCGGUCUCCUGUACACAAAUGACGUCAUUGAACGAGAGUCAGGCCGCCGUACCCAAGCGUGGUUUGCAUUGGCGAAACAGCAGAAACGGCGAAAGACCGAGAGAGGCCACUGCUUCUGAGAGCCUCGAAGAUGACAUUGUAUCUGUGUAAAACCCCUGCAUUUAAAGAUCAAUCUUCGAAUAUUGAAAUAAGAAUUCACAUGUCAACAUUUGUAAAUAUUUCUGUAGAACAAUAGAAAAAAAACAAUCGAAGCACUUUUGUAUCAAAUUUUAUCGUCAACAAUGUGUAUCACUAUGAGGUAAUAUCUAAUCGAAUAAAAAUUAUU